AUUGAACAUGUAGCUGUGUGUAUAGCUCCAGACAAACAGGCUGGAGCCGUGUAAGUAAUCUAUUAUAACAGCUAGCAACUGUUAUAGCCUUUUGUAAGUAAUGUUGUAGUUUUGUAUUGUGUAAUUAUUGUGGUAAAUUGACAUUCUGCUAGCAUUUGUUUAAUUGUUAUUAUAAUUAUAUUAAAUAUACAUUUAAUACUACGUUUUGUGUAUUUCCUAUUAUAUAUUCGACCAUAAUACCGAACUCUAUUAAUGUUGUUAUUUGUUGCUUAAUUAUUAUAUAUUAAUUAUCAAAUUAAUAUUCAUAUUUAAGUCACGACUGUAACACAGCACCAGACUACUCUAAACAAUUUCUUUUCCACACAGAUGCCUCCAUGUUUGGGCUGGGAGCCGUGUUAAGCCAGGUGGGAGACGACGGCAUGGAACACACGGUGGCCUAUCUAAGUCGUAAACUGUUUCCCCGGGAAGUCAGCUAUGCCACCGUGGAGAAGGAGUGCCUAGCCCUGGUGUGGGCCCUUAAGAAACUCCAACCUUAUUUGUACGGCCGGCCGUUUACUCUGAUGACCGACCACAACCCAUUGGUGUGGUUAAACCGGGUGGCUGGCGACAACCCUAGACUUUUACGGUGGAGCCUAGCCCUUCAACCGUACAACUUCACUAUGCAAUAUCGUCCGG